rnacentral:rRNA from 1 species
AGCAGCCGCGGUAAUUCCAGCUCCAAUAGCGUAUAUUAAAGUUGUUGCAGUUAAAAAGCUCGUAGUUGAAUUUCGAGAUCAAUUUGUUGGUCGUGCCUCGGUACGCACUGGCAAUUUUGAUUUCUCCCUUCUGAAGAACCAUUAUGUCAUUAAUUUGGUGUCAUGGGGAAUCAGGACCGUUACUUUGAAAAAAUUAGAGUGUUUAAAGCAGGCUCGCGCUUGAAUACAUUAGCAUGGAAUAAUGAAAUAGGACGUUUGAUUCUAUUUUGUUGGUUUCUAGGAUCGACGUAAUGAUUAAUAGGGAUAGUUGGGGGCAUUAGUAUUCAAUUGUCAGAGGUGAAAUUCUUGGAUUUAUUGAAGACUAACUACUGCGAAAGCAUUUGCCAAGGAUGUUUUCAUUAAUCAAGAACGAAAGUUAGGGGACCGAAGACGAUCAGAUACCGUCGUAGUCUUAACCAUAAACUAUGCCGACUAGGGAUCGGAUGAUGUUAAUUUUUAAUGUACUCAUUCGGCGCCUUAA